rnacentral:rRNA from 1 species
UACGUAGGUGACCAGCGUUGUCCGGAUUUACUGGGCGUAAAGAGCGCGCAGGCGGUCGUUCAAGUCGAGUGUGAAAGCCCCCCGGCUCAACUGGGGAGGGUCAUUCGAUACUGAUCGACUUGAAGGCAGGAGAGGGAAGCGGAAUUCCCGGUGUAGUGGUGAAAUGCGCAGAUAUCGGGAGGAACACCGGUGGCGAAGGCGGUUCUCUGGGCCUGUACUGACGCUGAGGAGCGAAAGCGUGGGGAGCGAACAGGG